CUUGUAUCUGUAACCUGCCCAACGACAUUCCGAAACCGCUAGAGGGAGUUACGACAUCUUUUUAGUCAUAUCCACUGGUGGUACUUAAGAAGAUAUGAAGUAUUAGGGUCACGGAGGGUCUGGAGCCUAUCCUGGAGGCUCAACAUACAAACUCAUGGAGCCAUGGCGGGGACUCGAACCCAGGUCCCAGAGGGUGUGAGUCAGCAAUGCUCCGAAACUCCUGGUCCCAGUUGGGCCUGCCGAAGAAGGUCUUCUCCCUGAAGCCAGUGACCACAUCCCUCUGGGAGUCACGGUGCAGGGUGAUGUGGCGUGCCUGGUGGAGGGGCAAGGCAAACGUUAAAACUCCCGUCAGAUCCAGGCCGGCAGCCGGUUCCAGGAGCUGAGGCACCUCUCCUCGGCCUACCUGAGCGUCGUCCCAGCUGGUGAGGUAGAUGUGGAAGCUGACGAGACGCCCCAUACCCAUGGUGUCACCCUCCAGGGAGAGCAGGAGGUCCCGAAACCACUCGAAAGCGGUGGUGUCACGACAGAUCCAGAAGAAGUAGAGCUUGGUGGAUUUAAAGGCACAGCACAAGAAUACGAUCACCGAUCUCCGAUCACCAAGAUCUGUUCUUCACAAAUAUUUACUAUCAAAAUUUUGUGUCUAGCACAAUGCACAAACCCACACUGCGUAUCAUUUUUUUAAUUUGACAUCUCAUCCAAGCUUUAAAGUUCUGUCAUCCAGUUUGACUCGGAUUUGGAGGACUUAUUUCUCGUUACCUUCUGGAGUUUCAUGGCUUUCCCGGGAUUUGAAGACUUGUACCGGAGUGAUUUCAGGACAGAGGCGAACGGGGUCACUCCGAUACCCGCCGCGAUGCACACGCUGACCUCAUACCGAAAUACGUCACGGCUGGCCGAGCCAAACGGGCCGUCCACCGCCAAGCUGGGGGAGAGACAGCACUCAGAAAAGAUGAAACUGAUUGGCAGAUGACCCAAGCCCCGCCUCCAGGGACAGUAUUGCGGUUUAUUGGGCGUAAAAGCCCCUUGUUAGAGGUGGUGGAAACACUACACGGGAACUUGCCGUAGCAGAGGGAUCCGCGAGUCCCCCUGGUGGCCGGUGCAGGCGGCAUACAGGGCAGCCGUCCAGUCUCCCGCCACGCGCACGUGCACGCUGAAGUGAUCCUCCUCAGGUGCAGACGUCAGGGUGAAGGGGUGCCACUCCAGAGGGGCGAUGGCGGAACACUGCAGGUACACGUACUGGCCUGGCUCCAUGCGAAAGCCCACCUUCGUCAUCUGCAGCUCCACCACGUUUGAUGGCACCUUUAAAGAAUACAAGAGGCAAAAUAACUUUCCAGCCGAACUGUGAGAUUGGAUUUUCUGACCAUCGAGACGACACAUACCACAGAAAGCGGUGUGACGGGAAGGCCAUUCUCGACCCGGCGCUGAACUGCUCAAAAGUUAGGAAACACCACAUGCAAUCCUGACCAAGCAGUUGGAUCCUUUCUGUGCUCCAGACGUGACUGUAGAGCGAAGCCAGGGCUGUGGAAAAUAUCAAGCCAGUCGUUCAUGAAUAAUAGAUAAACAUAAAAAAGAUCAACGCAACCUCUUAUUUUCAAAGAAGCUUGGGUCAAACGCUUUCUAAGGAUAAGGCUUAGCUGAUACCAGCCGGUGCCCCCCCCCCCCAACUCCCGGUUUGCCGAUUGCACUGAAAACAGACAAAUAUGCAGAAACCAAGCGGAAACGAGAUAAAAGUAACAGUCAAAAUGUAUCAAUUAUUUAAACCCUUUAAAAUUAAUUAGGAUGUAGAUUGAAACAGCAGUUCUGCUUUUCUCUUUCUGAUCAGUGUUUUUCAUUAUUAUUUGCUUUAAUUUUGCCCCAAAAUAAAGCUGCAUAAAUGAAUUCAGCAGACUACUUUCAGCAUUCCUCCCCUCCAGAAUUAAUUUAAACGCCGGUAUACAUCAAUGUGAUCUUCCGAACAACAAAAACAGAAGUAGAAAAUCUGCUUAUGUAAAUGUGAAAAUAUUUACAUUCUUACUGAAAUGUGAGAGAGACCUUCCGGCAUUUAGUGAAGCGGAGGGACUGAGCUUGGUGCCCCGGGGGUGUCACCGUCGCUCCGUCACAUGACCUCUGACAUCAUGGCUUUCUGUACUAGGGCGCCUCCAGCCGGUUUCACGUGUCAGUUUUGCCGCAGAGCUGCCCACCUGCAGCACUGUGGGGUCUCUAGUGACCCCGGUAGCUAGGACUCUAGGGACUCGCAGUGAACCUCACUGAUCUCUUUAAGUCUGUGCACCCUGUGCCAGCUUUCCAAGGGCAAGGAGGAUGGUUAAACUCAAUCUGAAAUGCCAGCAUCUUAACAAGAACUUAUGAAAGAUUGAGGGAGGCGCUGACCAGGAAGCACGCCCUCAGCUGCUCCGAGCGCGGCUAUGCACAGCGACGCUGUUUGCAGAUACGACCGUACUGGGUCGAUUCCUAAAGCUGGGCCGGCGCAGAGGGCAUGCGCGGUGCGCUGCACAGAAUGAAAACCGUUUUAAUUGCUCCUGUGGUGAUAAUGGUCAGCAUCCAGGUGAAAUCUGCCACUGCAUUUUAUCAAUUCUGGCAGUUCCUAUCUUUUGAAAAAUGCAGUUAAAAAAAAGACUAGACAUAUAUUAACAUCAUUUAAUUCAAACAAAGGUACUAUUUAAAAAUGACAGGCUGAUUUUAGUGAACUACUAUUCACAUUCAGCAUAUUUACUUCUUUGCUUAGCUGACAGUUUCACCUGUGUAUACAGCUAGGUAUUUUACCAGAGGGAUUGAAGUAAAGUACCCUGCCUGGGGGAACAAGUUCUAAGGCUCAGACUGACAACCAGGUUACGGUUCCACCUCCUAGGCAACCUCUGUGCUGCCUGCUACCUGCCAUGCGACCCUGCAAGCUCAGCUCACUGCCACUUUGUCAUCGCUGACGGCUGACACAUCCUUAUCCCUUAAGGCUCAACACCUGGACCGGCGCUGGCCAUUAAAACGAAACGCUGCAUGGAUCUUGUGGCCUCGGACUUUCAGUCGUGCUUCUUGUGGAACGCCCCGCGAAAGAGUUUCCUCUGAAGAGGAGGUCAGGAUGACCAUUUUCUGCAUGUCUGUAAAACCCUCGCAUAUCGAAACCCAUGUGUCCGUAACCCUGCUACUGCAUUCCUCUGAGAUCCAGGCAGGAGACAUGUUCACGUCACUGCACAUGCUCAGUCUGUGCGGCGUGGGGGUGCUAUGCUUUAAUGUUUCAUUCUGCAGCUAUUUCCAUUGCAUCGUUGCCACAGUCCACAGUCCCGAGGCAUCAGAUCUAUCCCCCAAUUUGCAAAUGCCCCCUGGUGCACGGGAGAGGCUCUGGGCAACAUGCAGCCCCAUCCUCACCGGCUCUCCGGGCCCCCGAAAUAAAAAGGGUACAGAUCGAUCCGGCAUACUGAGACACGCCCACCGCUGCGAGCCCGCAUCCCUGCCAGCGAUGAGCCGGGUCUGGAAAGGCAGCGUUCGUGUUUUCAGCGACC